rnacentral:rRNA from 1 species
GAUGAACGCUGGCGGCGUGCCUAAUACAUGCAAGUCGAGCGAACAGACGAGGAGCUUGCUCCUCUGACGUUAGCGGCGGACGGGUGAGUAACACGUGGAUAACCUACCUAUAAGACUGGGAUAACUUCGGGAAACCGGAGCUAAUACCGGAUAAUAUAUUGAACCGCAUGGUUCAAUAGUGAAAGACGGUUUUGCUGUCACUUAUAGAUGGAUCCGCGCCGCAUUAGCUAGUUGGUAAGGUAACGGCUUACCAAGGCAACGAUGCGUAGCCGACCUGAGAGGGUGAUCGGCCACACUGGAACUGAGACACGGUCCAGACUCCUACGGGAGGCAGCAGCAGGGAAUCUUCCGCAAUGGGCGAAAGCCUGACGGAGCAACGCCGCGUGAGUGAUGAAGGUCUUCGGAUCGUAAAACUCUGCUAUUAGGGAAGAACAAAUGUGUAAGUAACUAUGCACGUCUUGACGGUACCUAAUCAGAAAGCCACGGCUAACUACGUG